rnacentral:rRNA from 1 species
AACGAACGCUGGCGGCAGGCUUAACACAUGCAAGUCGAGCGCAUCCUUCGGGGUGAGCGGCAGACGGGUGAGUAACGCGUGGGAAUCUACCUUUUGCUACGGAAUAGCUCCGGGAAACUGGAAUUAAUACCGUAUGUGCCCUUAGGGGGAAAGAUUUAUCGGCAAGAGAUGAGCCCGCGUUGGAUUAGCUAGUUGGUGGGGUAAAGGCCUACCAAGGCGACGAUCCAUAGCUGGUCUGAGAGGAUGAUCAGCCACAUUGGGACUGAGACACGGCCCAAACUCCUACGGGAGGCAGCAGUGGGGAAUAUUGGACAAUGGGCGCAAGCCUGAUCCAGCCAUGCCGCGUGAGUGAUGAAGGCUUUAGGGUUGUAAAGCUCUUUCACCGGAGAAGAUAAUGACGGUAUCCGGAGAAGAAGCCCCGGCUAACUUCGUG